CCUACGGGGGGCAGCAGUGAGGAAUAUUGGUCAAUGGACGAGAGUCUGAACCAGCCAAGUAGCGUGAAGGAUGACUGCCCUAUGGGUUGUAAACUUCUUUUAUAUGGGAAUAAAAUGUUCCACGUGUGGGAUUUUGUAUGUACCAUAUGAAUAAGGAUCGGCUAACUCCGUGCCAGCAGCCGCGGUAAUACGGAGGAUCCGAGCAUUAUCCGGAUUUAUUGGGUUUAAAGGGAGCGUAGGUGGAUUGUUAAGUCAGUUGUGAAAGUUUGCGGCUCAACCGUAAAAUUGCAGUUGAAACUGGCAGUCUUGAGUACAGUAGAGGUGGGCGGAAUUCGUGGUGUAGCGGUGAAAUGCUUAGAUAUCACGAAGAACUCCGAUUGCGAAGGCAGUUCACUGGACUGCAACUGACACUGAGGCUCGAAAGUGUGGGUAUCAAACAGGAUUAGAUACCCCUGUAGUC
rnacentral:rRNA from 1 species